rnacentral:rRNA from 1 species
AACGAACGCUGGCGGCAUGCCUAACACAUGCAAGUCGAACGAGACCUUCGGGUCUAGUGGCGCACGGGUGCGUAACGCGUGGGAACCUGCCCUUAGGUUCGGAAUAACUCCCCGAAAGGGGUGCUAAUACCGGAUAAUGUCUUCGGACCAAAGAUUUAUCGCCUUUGGGUGGGCCCGCGUUGGAUUAGCUAGUUGGUAGGGUAAAAGCCUACCAAGGCGACGAUCCAUAGCUGGUCUGAGAGGAUGAUCAGCCACACUGGGACUGAGACACGGCCCAGACUCCUACGGGAGGCAGCAGUGGGGAAUAUUGGACGAGGGGCGAAAGCCUGAUCCAGCAAUGCCGCGUGAGUGAUGAAGGCCUUAGGGUUGUAAAGCUCUUUUACCCGGGAUGAUAAUGACAGUACCGGGAGAAUAAGCUCCGGCUAACUCCGUG